rnacentral:tRNA from 1 species
GGGGAUAUAGCUCACUUGGUAGAGUGUUUUCCUUGUAUACAUAAGGCCCUGGGUUCAAUCCCCAGCACCGCCA